GUUGCAGGCGUGCAGGUCGGUGGUGUUACACAUUCACGCUGUUGCAGGCGUGCAGGUCGGUGGUGUUACAUUCACGCUGUUGCAGACGUGCAGGUCAGUGCUGUUACACACGCUGUUGCAGGCGUGCAGGUUGGUGGUGUUACAUUCACACUGUUGCAGGCGUGCAGGUCGGUGGUGUUACACACAUUCAUUCUGUUGCAGGCGUGCAGGUCAGUGUUACACACAUUCACGCUGUUGCAGGCGUGCAGGUCGGUGGUGUUACACACAUUCACGCUGUUGCAGAUGUGCAGGUCGGUGCUGUUACAUUCACGCUGUUGCAAGCGUGCAGGUCGGUGGUGUUACAUUCACGCUGUUGCUGGCGUGCAGGUCGGUGGUGUUACACACAUUCACACUGUUGCAGACAUGCAGGUCGGUGCUGUUACACACAUUCAUGCUGUUGCAGGCGUGCAGGUCGGUGGUGUUACAUUCACGCUAUUGCAGGCGUGCAGGCCGGUGGUGUUACAUUCACGCUGUUGCAGGCGUGCAGGUUGGUGUUACACACAUUCACACUUGCAGGC
rnacentral:lncRNA from 1 species